rnacentral:rRNA from 1 species
UAGGGAAUCUUCCGCAAUGGACGAAAGUCUGACGGAGCGACGCCGCGUGGAGGAAGACGGCCUUCGGGUUGUAAACUCCUUUUAUAGGGGAAGAAUAAGGAUAUUAGGAAAUGAAUAUCCGAUGACGGUACCCUAUGAAUAAGCCACGGCUAACUCUGUGCCAGCAGCCGCGGUAAGACAGAGGUGGCGAACGUUACCCGGAUUUACUGGGCGUAAAGGGCGUCUAGGCGGCUUGACAAGUCUUCUGUGAAAGCCCCCUGCUUAACGGGGGAGGCCAGUGGAUACUAUCAAGCUAGAGGAUCGGAGGGGGAAGCGGUACUACUGGAGGAGCGGUGAAAUGCGUAGAGACCAGUAGGAACCUCGAUAGCGAAGGCAGCUUCCUGGCCGAUUUCUGACGCUGAAGCGCGAAAGCGUGGGGAGCAAACCGGAUUAGAUACCCCCGUAGUCC